UACGUAGGGGGGCAAGCGUUUGUCCGGAAUCAUUGGGCGUAAAGAGCGUGUAGGCGGCCCGGUCAGUCUGGUGUGAAAUCUUGAGGCUCAACCUCAAGCUGUCAUCGGAUACUGCCGGGCUAGAGUCCGGAAGAGGAGAGUGGAAUUCCUGGUGUAGCGGUGGAAUGCGCAGAUAUCAGGAGGAACAUCCGUGGCGAAGGCGGCACUCUGGGCCGAUACUGACGCUGAGGAGCGAAAGCGUGGGGAGCGAACAGG
rnacentral:rRNA from 1 species